UUUCGCUUUGCACAUAGAGCGGGCAACAAGACUACAUGUCCCGAGGUGCAACGCGGCUGCUCUUGCUCCGUUUUCCUUUCCUUUUGUUCUUAAAGGCAGCAUCUUGCAUCCCGGGAUUUGUAGUCAGAAAGAAACAGCUCUCCGGGCUCCCAGUCGGGAUCGGGUUGUUGUCCCUCCGUCCUCGUCCGCCCCCUGCCUGGUAGUCCCAGCUGCCGGGCCGCCCACAAAGCGAGCGCAGGCAAGGAGGCGGAGGCAGUGGGGCUGCUCCUCGCCCCGUAGCCCGGGAAGCGGUUGCGAGGAGCGGCCGCUGCCUCUGCCUGCUCACCUGGGCACUCUUGGCUCUCUCGUGGUGGCGCGGCGCUUGGGGCAGCUCUCGGGGGGCUCCCCCCCCUUGUAGCCGCCACGAUUCUGCGGUCCCUCGGAGAACCCCGUCCAGAGGGAAGGGACAGGGAUGGGGAACCUUUGACCCUCCAGAUGUUGCUGAACUACUAUUCCUAUCAGCCACAGACAUCAUACGCAAUGGUCAGAAAUGAUGGGUGUUGGAAUCCAACAAGCAUUAGCUACCUGUCCCAGGUGUCUACAAAUCUGAUGAGCUUCAUAUCAAUUCCUUUAUUCAAGUCAUUUAUAAAGACGUUGAACACCCAACACAGAACCAUGUGGCACCAAACGUAGCUGAUGGAAGACACUCCAUGCCACCAAGGCCACCUGCAUCUCAAAUGAUGGCAAUGGAUCCAGACGUAUCCCCAAACUGCAUACAGCUCCUUCUGGGGGAGUGUGGAUGGGACAUUUUAUAGCAAGGAAACAGUGCAGAGUGAUUAUAUUAUUAACUUUUCCUCCACCAGCUGUUUCCUCACUCCAAAUUACCUUGUCCUCUCCACCUGAGCUGAUGUGUCCCCCACCCCUACCCGUAAGGCACUCUGGGGAGUUCCAAUGCUAAAUUAGUUUCAUUUCUUUUUUGAUAUUUGCUAUAUAUUUGUAAAGCAGGGGAGGGCUGUGCAGCGCAAAAUGCAAUAGAAUUCUAUAUAUAUGAUAGAAUUCUAUCUAUAUAUAAACCUUAUUUGUUUAAUUUCUUGAAUCAUACUGUGGAAAAUAUAGUAACCUUUGAAGAUGAAUGUAUAUUAUUAAGUUUUAGGAAGAACAAAAAGGUCAUUUCCCUCUGCAGUUUAGCAUAAGUCUUGUUUGUAAGGCUCAUUAUUCUUUAUUGACAGUUUAUUCUCCUACAUUAAUAAUAAUUAAGAGAUAUUGACCAGAAAUGCUGUGGAGUACGAUAGAGUAGCUGUUAUGGGCAAGCACUGCUGGAGAGAGCUUUUACCAUAUUUUCCCGUGUAUAAGACGCCUCCAUGUAUAAGACCCCUUAUUUUAAACUUCAAAAAUUUAGGAAAAAAUAUAGUCUUAUACACGGGAAAAUACGGUAUGUAGGUUUCCUGUCUAGACCUGCCUCAGUUAGACAUCUGUAUUUCACAAUCUGAGACAUCAACAUUCUUUCUUUUGAGAGAAAGAAGUUUAUAUAAGAGCAGAUUUCAUCAUAUCUGAAGACAUGCUAUGUGAUGGCCAAUGUAUGUUCACCACUGCUUGUGAAUACAGCAAGGUGUUGUGACCAACCCCAGCUUUGGUAUGUUCCUGUAACAUGCAUAUAGCAGAAAACAUGGUAUUUGCCUCAUGCAUAUUAUGGUUUUAUAUCUACAUGUAAUGAAGCUGGCAGUUGGAAGCAUAACAGUUAAAAGCAUCAUGAGUGUAUACCUAUGAACCACAGUUUGCUGUGUUAAAUACGAAUAUCAUAGCUGUUUUCUGAUUAAAAUUGCUCCUUAUCAUUUU